CAGCCGCCGCGGGAAUACGUAGGUGGCAAGCGUUGUCCGGAAUUAUUGGGCGUAAAGGGCUCGCAAGCGGUUUCUUAAGUCUGACGUGAAAGCCCCCGGCUCAACCGGGGAGGGUCAUUGGAAACUGGGAAACUUGAGUGCAGAAGAGGAGAGGGAAUUCCACGUGUAGCGGUGAAAUGCGUAGAGAUGUGGAGGAACACCAGUGGCGAAGGCGACUCUCUGGUCUGUAACUGACGCUGAGGAGCGAAAGCGUGGGGAGCGAACAGGAUUAGAUACCCCCGUAGUCCCUGUCUCUUAUACA
rnacentral:rRNA from 1 species